UUCCUUCUACCUCAUUUUUUGUUGAAAUUAAAAAAACCAAAAAGAUAAGUCAUUUUAAUAAUACUAUUGGAAAUAUUUUAUAAAGGUUUAUACUGAAUAUGGUUCAUACACUUUAUAUCUAAUUUUGUAGUUAGGACAAGAUAUUAUUUACAGGAGUCAUGCCCUAAAAGUUAUUGUUUAUAUUGUGGUCAAAACAGCACUGUAUAAAAACGCUGACUUGGACCUUCUAAAAACUUUCAGAAAAUUUGAUGCAGUCUGCAUCUUCUGAUAUAAAAGAUAUACCGAUGUUGCACUAUAUUCAACAUGCCUUACUUCCUACAAAUUGACCACCUAAUGAUGCAGCGAGGAAAUGACUUGACUAGCAAGCCAGAGAUUGCCGGUUCAAAUCCCCACAGAUAUGUUUCCCAGACUAUGAGAAACACCUAUAUGGGGCAGCAGCGAUAUAGCAAGUUGCUGAAAGGCAUAAUCGCAUACUGCGCGGGAGAUGGCAAUGGUAAACCCCUCCUGUAUUCUACCAAAGACAACCACAGGGCUCUGUGGUCACCAGGAGUCGACACUGACUCGAUGGCACACUUUACCUUUACUCCCUACAAAGUAAGCUUAUAAUUACAGUCCUAACCAAUAAACUCUGGAAUUCAAUGUGAUUUAAAGUCACAAUCCUAUUUGCCUGAAUUUAACAGUCAUUUAUUAGAACACUGAAAAUUGGGGGUGGGAUUCCUGAUCAGAAAAUGAAGCUCUGAAUCACAUAGAUUAGGCUGGGCACUUUGGCAAUUUGCUGAACUAGGAAGGCAAGCUCUAGAUAAGUCUCUUUGGAAAGUGUUAUUAGAAGACCUGUCUUACCAGUCCUUGGAUCUAGAAUUUCAACAGUCACUUCCCUCUUGUGUCCCAGUACAGCAUUUUUAGGUUUGUUCAGUAUUAUUUUAAACACUUCAUUGUUUUCUUCAAGACCAUCAUCCUGAAGGAGGACAUUCCAGAUCUUUACAGAUACACCUGUCAAAAGCACAAGAUAUAAAUCCUGGCCCUCCCUUUUGGCUCCAAAUGUUGAGGAAACAUGUGAAAGAGAGCAGCAUCCCAUCUACUGGCUUCUCUCCUGACGUCUAAAUAUUCAGUAAAGAAGAAGAGCAUGAGAUGGAGGUGAGCAGCAGUGCACUUCUGCAUGCAAGCCAGCAACAGAUCACAUCAGCUCCCCAGAGAAUGGCCUUGAACGCCAAGGUCUGUGAAUAUCACUGAGUGAUUUCCUCCCAAUGCUACCUUAGUGGCAAAUGGAAAGGAACUGUAUUGAGUGGAGGGCGUGGAGGGCUCAUGUGGAGCUUUGAAAAUCUUCCCAAGUGGUCUGCUGUGCAAGCACAUUAACCAUCAGUGUUUGCUGCCAAGACCUCCAGUUUGGCCGCUGAACAGUUACGUCCAAACCCGGAUGCUGCCAUAUGAUUUUGAAACCGCAAUCAAAGAGGUUGCAGCGCAGACCCACCCAGGGACUUGUACCAGGGAUACAGCCUGCAGGAGUGGAUGGUCACCCCCUAUCACAACCCAGAGAUGCCCUAGAGAGGAACUUGAACUACAGGCACAGCAGCAUGAGGAUCAUCGUGGAGCAGUCAUUCAGGAGGCUAAAGGCCUAGUUGCACACGAUCUACAUUUUGCUGGAUGUGGAGGAGGAUCUUGUGCCCAAGGCAAUUGUGGCCCGCUACAUCCUGCACAACAUUUGCAAGACCAGGGGAGACAUCUUGCUGGAGGAGCCUCUGGACCCAGCCACACAUCCAGAGGGUGAGGAGGUGAGCAGGUGCAUGGGAUUGGAAGGGCAUGCUGCCCUUUAAACUGCUGGUGGUAACAUGGGGUCAUCACCAGUACCUGCAGCAGCAGCAGGAUCAAAAGUUGCAAACACCUGUCCCUACCUUGCUAAUUUAAGGGCUGACAGUGUAUUAAAGCCUAAUAGAGUUAUAGCAUCCAUUAUGAAAUCAUUGUGUUUAUUUCCAAAUGCAAGUGUGGAGCUACCCCAUCACACCUGGCCAGUGGCAGGGAGGGCAAUGAGCUGUUUGGGGGGUUGGAUGAGUAAGGUCAGGACAUGGGAUCCCCCUUGCAAAUGGCAGGCAGGGUGGUGAGCAGUUUGAGGGGUUGGAUGGGGGCAGGGAACGACAUGAGAUCAACAUGCCCACUUUGGAAUCGCAACCAAUGGUGGCCGCCUGGAUGCC